rnacentral:sRNA from 1 species
GAUAUGAACUCACAGGCUUUGACUGGGAAGAUUUACUUAACUGGAAAACAACCUGCUGUAUCAAAUACAUGUUUCAUUUUAAUUAAAUACUUUUAAAUGGACUUUAUUUUAGGACUGCUGCAGAUCAAUGACAAAAUCGCCCUAAAGGAAAUCACAAGGCAGUUAAAUCUGGAAAAUGUAGUUGGAGAUAAAGUUUUUGGAAGCUUUGCUGAAAACCUUUCAUUUCUUCUGGAAGCUUUAAAAAAAGGUGACCGAACUAGCAGUUGCCCAGUGAUCUUCAUAUUAGAUGAAUUUGAUCUUUUUGCUCAUCAUAAAAACCAAACACUUCUCUAUAAUCUUUUUGACAUUUCUCAGUCUGCACAGACCCCAAUAGCAGUUAUUGGUCUUACAUGUAGAUUGGAUAUUUUGGAACUCUUAGAAAAAAGAGUGAAGUCAAGAUUUUCUCACCGGCAGAUACACUUAAUGAAUUCAUUUGGUUUUCCACAGUAUGUUAAAAUAUUUAAAGAACAGUUAUCUCUACCUGCAGAGUUUCCAGACAAGGUUUUUGCUGAGAAGUGGAAUGAAAAUGUUCAG